CCCCUUUUCCGGCAACACACUGCUUCACCUAAAUAUAGUGCAAUAUAUUUAGGUGAAGCAGUGUGUUGCUGGAAAAGGGG